GAUGAACGCUGGCGGCGUGCCUAAUACAUGCAAGUCGAGCGAACGGACGAGAAGCUUGCUUCUCUGAUGUUAGCGGCGGACGGGUGAGUAACACGUGGAUAACCUACCUAUAAGACUGGGAUAACUUCGGGAAACCGGAGCUAAUACCGGAUAAUAUUUUGAACCGCAUGGUUCAAAAGUGAAAGACGGUCUUGCUGUCACUUAUAGAUGGAUCCGCGCUGCAUUAGCUAGUUGGUAAGGUAACGGCUUACCAAGGCAACGAUGCAUAGCCGACCUGAGAGGGGGAUCGGCCACACUGGAAAUGAGACACGGUCCAGACCCCUACGGGAGGCAACAGUAGGGAAUCUGCCGCAAUGGGCGAAAGCCUGACGGAGCAACGCCGCGUGAGUGAUGAAGGUCUUCGGAUCGUAAAACUCUGUUAUUAGGGAAAAACAUAUGUGUAAGUAACUGUGCACAUCUUGACGGUACCUAAGCAGAAAGCCACGGCUAACUACGU
rnacentral:rRNA from 1 species